rnacentral:tRNA from 3 species
CAUUAAGUAGCUCAGAGGUAGAGCAGCGAAGAAAUUUCGUGAGUCAUGGGUUCGAAUCCCAUCUUAAAUG